UACGUAGGUGGCAAGCGUUGUUCGGAAUUAUUGGGCGUAAAGGGCGCGUAGGCGGUUGGUUAAGUCAGCUGUGAAAGCCCGGGGCUCAACCCCGGAGGGUCGGCUGAUACUGAUUGACUAGAGUACGGAAGAGGUAGCUGGAAUUCCCGGUGUAGCGGUGAAAUGCGUAGAUGUCGGGAGGAACACCUGAGGCGAAGGCGGGCUACUGGGCCGAUACUGACGCUGAUGCGCGAAAGCCAGGGGAGCGAACGGG
rnacentral:rRNA from 1 species